rnacentral:rRNA from 1 species
UGAGGAAUAUUGGUCAAUGGACGAGAGUCUGAACCAGCCAAGUAGCGUGCAGGAUGACGGCCCUAUGGGUUGUAAACUGCUUUUGUUUGGGAAUAAUCGACAUUACGUGUAAUGUUUUGCAUGUACCAUUCGAAUAAGGACCGGCUAACUACGUGCCAGCAGCCGCGGUAAUACGUAGGGCGCAAGCGUUAUCCGGAAUUAUUGGGCGUAAAGAGCUUGUCGGCGGUUCGUCGCGUCUGGUGUGAAAGCCCAUCGCUUAACGGUGGGUUUGCGCCGAGUACGGGCGGGCUAGAGUACAGUAGGGGAGACUGGAAUUCCCGGUGUAACGGUGGAAUGUGUAGAUAUCGGGAAGAACACCAAUGGCGAAGGCAGGUCUCUGGGCUGUUACUGACGCUGAGAAGCGAAAGCGUGGGGAGCGAACAGG